CAAAUAUUUGAAAUUCAAUUUGAACUAUGUGUUUGAAAGUAAAGAACAGCAAUAGAGUUAAACGAAAUUCUAUAUGGACGUGGAAUGUGAUUUAUGCAGCUAUACUGACAAGAAAAUGUCAAGAAUACACUGAAAGGUUUAUGCUUCCUUAGCUGAAGAUUCCUUGCAUGGAAGGAGAGAAAUUUCCAAGAGAACUGAGAUGUGCACUUGAGCUAUGGGUGAGAACUCUGGAGAAUCAGUAUGCAGGACGCAGGUGCCUAUUCAGUAGAAGUCAGCACAUGUGGCAGAUAUAAAAGGGCGUGAG
rnacentral:lncRNA from 1 species